CAUAUCCCUGCUUCCGAAGAUCUUGUAAGUUUGUUGUCUUGUUUCGAUCAAUGCAGGAAGUAUGUGUAAUAUGAUUUUGUAAAUCUUAUUUUGAGUAAUUAUUCUGUUAGUUUAUCUGUUACAGGUUAACGAGGCUAUCAAUUUUGUUGGCUUUUAGGUCAUGCACUGCACUUUGAUUGUGUAAUUUUUCAUUAUAUAGAUGAUAGCCUCUGUAGAGAAUAACAAUAGCGUUUUUGGUAGAGCGAAUAAUCUGCAGUCUUAUAUUAAUUAUUGUAAUAUGUUAUAGAAUCACUU
rnacentral:lncRNA from 1 species